rnacentral:rRNA from 1 species
UGGGGAAUAUUGGACAAUGGGCGCAAGCCUGAUCCAGCAAUGCCGCGUGUGUGAAGAAGGCCUUCGGGUUGUAAAGCACUUUUAUCAGGAGCGAACGCUGUCGGCUAAUACCCGGCGGAACUGACGGUACCUGAGGAAUAAGCACCGGCUAACUUCGUGCCAGCAGCCGCGGUAAUACGAAGGGUGCAAGCGUUAAUCGGAAUUACUGGGCGUAAAGCGUGCGUAGGCGGUUUCUUAAGUCUGCUGUGAAAUCCCCGGGCUCAACCUGGGAAUGGCAGUGGAUACUGGGAGGCUAGAGUGUGUCAGAGGGUGGUGAAUUCCCGGUGUAGCGGUGAAAUGCGUAGAGAUCGGGAGGAACAUCAGUGGCGAAAGGCGGCCACCUGGGANAACACUGACGCUGAGGCACGAAAGCGUGGGGAGCAAACAGGAUUAGAUACCCUGGUAGUCCACG